rnacentral:rRNA from 1 species
AUUGAACGCUGGCGGUAUGCUUUACACAUGCAAGUCGAACGGUAACAGGUCUUCGGAUGCUGACGAGUGGCGAACGGGUGAGUAAUGUAUCGGAACGUGCCUAGUAAUGGGGGAUAACCACUCGAAAGAGUGACUAAUACCGCAUAAUAUCUCAGGAUGAAAGCGGGGGAUCGCAAGACCUCGCGUUAUUAGAGCGGCCGAUAUCAGAUUAGGUAGUUGGUGGGAUAAAAGCCUACCAAGCCAACGAUCUGUAGCUGGUCUGAGAGGACGACCAGCCACACUGGGACUGAGACACGGCCCAGACUCCUACGGGAGGCAGCAGUGGGGAAUUUUGGACAAUGGGCGAAAGCCUGAUCCAGCAAUACCGCGUGCAGGACGAAGGCCUUCGGGUUGUAAACUGCUUUUGUACGGAACGAAACGGUUCAGAUUAAUACUCUGAACUAAUGACGGUACCGUAAGAAUAAGCACCGGCUAACUACGUG